SRAARGGGGGCUAGCGUUGCUCGGRAUUUACUGGSSKWAARGGGCGCGUAGGCGGGACAGUUUAGUCAGAGGUGAAARGCCCAGGGGCUCAACCUUGGAAUUGCCUUUGAUACUGGCUGUCUUGAGUUCGGGAGAGGUGAGUGGAAUGCCGAGUGUAGAGGUGAAAUUCGUAGAUAUUCGGCGGAACACCAGUGGCGAAGGCGACUCACUGGCCCGAUACUGACGCUGAGGCGCGAAAGCGUGGGGAGCAAACAGGAUUAGAUACCCUGGUAGUCCACGCUGUAAACGAUGAGUGCUAGUUGUCGGCAUGCAUGCAUGUCGGUGACGCAGCUAACGCAUUAAGCACUCCGCCUGGGGAGUACGGUCGCAAG
rnacentral:rRNA from 1 species